UACGUAGGGUGCAAGCGUUGUCCGGAAUUAUUGGGCGUAAAGAGCUCGUAGGUGGCCUGUCGCGUCGGCUGUGAAAACUCGGGGCUCAACUCCGAGCUUGCAGUCGAUACGGGCAGGCUAGAGUUCGGCAGGGGAGACUGGAAUUCCUGGUGUAGCGGUGAAAUGCGCAGAUAUCAGGAGGAACACCGGUGGCGAAGGCGGAUCUCUGGGCCGAUACUGACGCUGAGGAGCGAAAGCGUGGGGAGCGAACAGG
rnacentral:rRNA from 1 species